CCCGAUUUUCGCAUAUUCCUUCAACUCCCUCUCUCGCUCUUUGUGUCUCCCUCGUUGCACCUCUCACUCUUUGUGUCUCCCUCAUCAUCUGUGCCCUCUUUUCUCUGUAUUGACGGGCUCGCAAGCAAGGACAGUAGUGUUUGUGGUUGAAUCUCGUUUCACUCGCGCGUUUUUGCACUAAGAAUAUUCAGAAACAAUGAAGAUGGAUGAUAAUCUGGCAGCACUUCACAUAGAAUUGGCCACAGCUCAUCUGCAUAAGAGCUUCUCCUCUUUUCGGAGAGGAGACUACAUGACCGCUAAUAAGGAAAAUACUAAUGCGAAGGCAUUUUUAAAA
rnacentral:sRNA from 1 species